UUAGAGGCACUGCCUGCCCGGUGACUCACGUUAAACGGCCGCGGUAUCCUGACCGUGCAAAGGUAGCAUAAUCAUUUGUUCCUUAAUUAGGGACUAGCAUGAAUGGCAAGACGAGGGUUUAACUGUCUCUUACUUCCCAUCAGUGAAAUUGACCUUCCAGUGAAGAGGCUGGAAUACAACAAUAAGACGAGAAGACCCUAUGGAGCUUUAAUCUAUUAACUUACUAACCUAGCAAAACAUACCCCAAGGGAAUAACAUACUAAAGUUUAACCUAAGUUAAUGAUUUCGGUUGGGGUGACCUCGGAGCACAAAAAACCCUCCGAAUAAAUUAAACUAAGACCAACUAGUCUAAGUUAUUAAUUUAAUUUAUUGACCCAAAAAAUUGAUCAACGGACCAAGUUACCCUAGGGAUAACAGCGCUAUCCUAUUCGAGAGUCCAUAUCGACAAUAGGGUUUACGACCUCGAUGUUGGAUCAGGACAUCCCAAUGGUGUAGAAGCUAUUAAAGGUUCGUUUGUUCAACGAUUAAAGUCCUACGUGAUCUG
rnacentral:rRNA from 1 species